rnacentral:rRNA from 1 species
UACGUAGGGUCCGAGCGUUGUCCGGAAUUACUGGGCGUAAAGAGCUCGUAGGCGGUUUGUCGCGUCUGCUGUGAAAUCCCGAGGCUCAACCUCGGGCCUGCAGUGGGUACGGGCAGACUGGAGUGCGGUAGGGGAGAAUGGAAUUCCUGGUGUAGCGGUGGAAUGCGCAGAUAUCAGGAGGAACACCGGUGGCGAAGGCGGAUCUCUGGGCCUUGCCUGACGCUGAGGCGCGAAAGCUAGGGGAGCGAACAGG